CUGGCGGGUAACAGUUCGUGAAGCUGCAAAGAGUUGAAUAUGACUGAACAAGUAACACACACACACACAUGUGCACAUAUACACACACAUGCACAUACACUCUAAAAGACAGGGGGAGAAGCUUCAUAGGUAUGAAGAGAAGCCUGGCUUUCUGGAUGGAGCUCUUUUCCACAGGGACAAUUGUGGAUUUGGAGAGAGAGAAAGAAAGAGAGAGAGACUGAGGAUAUAAGGAGAGUCUGACUAUAGAGCAGAAAAUAACGGAGAGUAAGACAAAAAGGGAGAAAAAGAUCAAAAGACAACGUUGCCAUCCCUUAUCUGCUGUUGAAUGAAAUGUAACACGUAUUUGUUGAGAACCAACAGUGCCUGCUCCAGUUAUCUCUUUCUGCAUGACAGAUUCACCCUGACAUAUACACACAUAAAACCACAAGACAUUUUAUAUUAUCUGUCAUGGUUCUGAGCGUUUGCAGGGUUCAGCUGGGUGGAUCUCAAAGAGCCUUCCAGAAGGAAGAGAUGGCAGAGACUGCAGUGACCGCUGAGACCGCCUCGCUCACGGGUGUGAUGGUUGAUGCCGGCCCUUCUCCGCUGCAUCGUCCACUGGGACUAUCAGCUGGAGUGAUUGCUCGUUCCCUGUGACCUGAGCUUCCUGACAGCCUUGCUCUUAUGCUCUUUUCCUGGACACUCAAGGUUCUAAACACAGCAUCCCAAGAGAACAAGGCAAAGGGUGGAACGUCCUUUUCUGUCCUAGCCCAGGCACAUCUAUCGCUGGUCCACCAGUCACUCAGGCACAUGGAAUCUUAGCUCCCCAGCCAUGAUGGAACCUGUUUCCCAUGCAUUGGAAGACACAGACUUAAUCACUGGACCCCCAGGGAAGUCCCAGCAAUACAGCUUUGACAUCCUCAAGUUUCAGAGACAGCAUGUCUCUGAUCCAGCAUUUGCCUCUGGCCACCUUCCACCAAAGUGAAGACAGUGGCAUGUCUGACGCUUGAGCUGGGGUUCUGGCAAGAAGAUUCAGCUCAUUCAUUGAGUUAUUCACUUGCAUGCCAGGAAGAGGGACAUUUGGAAUGGGAACUCCUUGAUUCUUUGACCUCCCUGGAAUGACCUCCCACCUGCAGACCCUACCCUGUCUUUCAGACUCAGGAAACAUCAAUGUAAACUUCUCUGAGAUGCUUUUUUGAGCCACUCGCUGCAGGCAUUGGAAAGACAAAGCACUCCCAACAUACUCCUUGUCCUUCUUGGAGAAGUAGGUGUGCUAACAAUUACAGGCAAAGAAUGGAGGGGUGCACCUGUAAGGAAAUCCCUAAGUCUGGUGACUCAAGAGCCAAGGUCUGCAUACAGUUAGCCAUUUGGUCCCCAGAGGGUUUUGUCUGGCCCAAAGUUAUAGCAUUAAUAAACUUUUGGCAUGUGUGCUAAGUUGUUUCAA